rnacentral:rRNA from 1 species
AGUGAACGCUGGCGGUAGGCCUAGCACAUGCAAGUCGAACGGCAGCACAGUAAGAGCUUGCUCUUACGGGUGGCGAGUGGCGGACGGGUGAGGAAUACAUCGGAAUCUACUUUUUCGUGGGGGAUAACGUAGGGAAACUUACGCUAAUACCGCAUACGACCUACGGGUGAAAGCAGGGGAUCUUCGGACCUUGCGCGAUUGAAUGAGCCGAUGUCGGAUUAGCUAGUUGGCGGGGUAAAGGCCCACCAAGGCGACGAUCCGUAGCUGGUCUGAGAGGAUGAUCAGCCACACUGGAACUGAGACACGGUCCAGACUCCUACGGGAGGCAGCAGUGGGGAAUAUUGGACAAUGGGCGCAAGCCUGAUCCAGCCAUACCGCGUGGGUGAAGAAGGCCUUCGGGUUGUAAAGCCCUUUUGUUGGGAAAGAAAAGCAGCGGGUUAAUACCCCGCUGUUCUGACGGUACCCAAAGAAUAAGCACCGGCUAACUUCGUG